AGUGGGUGGACAUGUGGGCGUGGAGAUUGGAAACAAAAAGCACUUGCAGCUCAAAGGUGGGCACAACAUUGGAGUGUGUGUGAAGAAUCUGCAAGACAACAUGGCUGUAAGGCUGCUGAUCAUGAUAAUUCUGAUUGCAGACAUCUGUGAAGGAGCACUGCUGGAAAAGACAACAGCAUAUAACUUCCUGCAGAAAAUAAGAGAAAAGCGUGGAUUGGAGUGUUUUCCAGGAGGGUGCAGCACAGAGGUUGGCGAGGCUGAAGAGCAGACAGACGUGAAUCUAGGAUAUGAGGAGAGUUCCAGCUUGCUGUACAAUGUUGGCAAGAAAGAAAUUAACUCUAAACCUGAGAAUCCUGCAAAGGAAACUAUGUCGGACGAAGGAUCUGGAAUGUGACCAUGAGUAAAAGAUGCUGAGUUUCUUCAGAGAGAAAUAAAAAAAUAAAUGUGCAAACAAAGCCUUAUUACAUUAAAAAAAUUGGAAAUUUCUAAACUGAUAUGAAUAAGGAUGAUAAAAACGAUUUAUUUUGUUGUCAUUUAUUAUUCUUUUAUAUUACAGUAAAUUAAGCAAAACCACGGAUGUUUCCUUUUGUGUCUAAGAAAGCAGAUUGAGAACAUUUUGCUAACCUGUUUUUAAAUGCUUUGAUUAGUUUCAAAGUUUGUUUUCAAUAUAUAAAAAUACAGAUUAGAUUACAUUUUUAAAUUUAUGUAAAUGUACUCUAACCAAUCACAGAUAUUGUUAGGUACUAUAUAAAUACUUCAGUAAAGAUUAACGCUUUUUUUUUGUUAGACUUGUCUUUUUUGUAGUGUUUUGAUGGAUAAAUGCACUGCAUGGGACCAAUA